UAGGAGGGCAACAACCCAGCAGCAGGACCGCUACCUCUGCCUUUGUGCAAGGAGGAACAUGAGGAGCACUGCCAGAGCCCUUGGCAUUUGCCAGAGUACACCAAGAUUGGCAAAUUCGCCACUGGCGCCCUGUGCUCUUCACAGAUGAAAGCAUGUUCACACUGAGCACAUGUGACAGAGUCUGGAGACGCCGUGGAGAAUGUUCUGCUGCCUGCAACAUCCUCCAGCAUGACCGGUUUGGCAGUGGGUCAAUAAUGGUGUGGGGUGGCAUUUCAUUGGGGGGCUGCACAGCCCUCCAUGUGCUCGCCAGAGGUAGCCUGACUGUCAUUAGGUACUGAGGUGAGAUCCUCAGACCCCUUGUGAGACCAUAUGCUGGUGCGGUUGGCCCUGGGUUCCUCCUAAUGCAAGACACUGCUAGACCUCAUGUGGCUGGAGUGUGUCAGCAGUUCCUGCAAGAUGAAGGCAUUGAUGCUAUGGACUGGCCCGCCCGUUCCCCAGACCUGAAUCCAAUUGAGCACACAGAGGACAUCAUGUCUCGCUCCAGUUGGCAGAUGCUUUAGUCCAGGUCUGGGAGGAGAUCUCUCAGGAGACCAUCUGCCACCUCAUCAAGAGCAUGUACAGGCAUUGUAGGGAG